GUGUCACUCUCCUGCUCAACAGAUUCCUACAUCUAGAUUUGGUUACCGUCAGGGAACGAAACAGAGCUGCAAAACACCAAAGUAAUAAUUGUUUUCUUCCAUUCAAUUACACUGCUGAACAUGCACAGCAUGGUGACAGCUAAGCAGUACGCACGUCAUCAAGGCCAAUUUCCAAAUAUGGGAGGUGUUAUGUAUGAAAUUUGACACAGUUCCUCUUCUCUGAUCGGCUCGAGACAUAGCUCAUCGGAAUCAGUGCCCAAUUCUCCUUCGGAUAAGCCAUACUUAUUUUUGGCGUUCAGUUUCCCUUUAACGGAAUACUCAAUGACAGGUGAUCUCUGAGUUGACCAGUUUCCUUCGAUUCAUUUGCUUAUGCUCACCCUUUCAUUUACGGAAACGUGUGCUGAACUGCUGAUUGUAUUCGGAUUUAGAGCCAUUUCUAUCUCUUUGCCCUUGCCUACAGUGUGCGGAGAUCGGGAGUUCACCUUCUUGACGUUGCCGUCAUGUUGCUAAAGAAAGGUUCAGUGCCUCAUUUGUUUCAUACGAGACGAGUCAAUGGGUCGGUGUGGCGUAGAAUCUUUCGCUGUAGAAGAAAUCUAUUCAUACCGGAAAAUCGUGGACUAACAGUUUGAAGUCAUUGAACUACUUCCAAAAGUUGUAUCGACAUCAACAGGAUUACGAUUUCAGUGCAAUAUAAUACAGGAUGACCUUAUCACGAUAACCCUUGAUUAUAAACAAUUAUAAGCACAGAAUCAACAAAAACAUCUGCGAUA